AGUGAACGCUGGCGGUAGGCCUAACACAUGCAAGUCGAACGGCAGCACAGUAAGAGCUUGCUCUUACGGGUGGCGAGUGGCAGACGGGUGAGGAAUACAUCGGAAUCUACUUUGUCGGGGGGGAUAACGUAGGGAAACUUACGCUAAUACCGCAUACGACCUACGGGUGAAAGCAGGGGAUCUUCGGACCUUGCGCGAUUGAAUGAGCCGAUGUCGGAUUAGCUAGUUGGCGGGGUAAAGGCCCACCAAGGCGACGAUCCGUAGCUGGUCUGAGAGGAUGAUCAGCCACACUGGAACUGAGACACGGUCCAGACUCCUACGGGAGGCAGCAGUGGGGAAUAUUGGACAAUGGGCGCAAGCCUGAUCCAGCCAUACCGCGUGGGUGAAGAAGGCCUUCGGGUUGUAAAGCCCUUUUGUUGGGGAAGAAAAGCAGCAGGUUAAUACCCCGCUGUUCUGACGUUACCCAAAGAAUAAGCACCGGCUAACUUCGUG
rnacentral:rRNA from 1 species